rnacentral:rRNA from 1 species
GACGAACGCUGGCGGCGUGCUUAACACAUGCAAGUCGAACGGAAAGGCCCUGCUUUUGUGGGGUGCUCGAGUGGCGAACGGGUGAGUAACACGUGAGUAACCUGUCCUUGACUUUGGGAUAACUUCAGGAAACUGGGGCUAAUACCGGAUAGGAGCUCCUGCAGCACGGUGGGGGUUGGAAAGUUUCGGCGGUUGGGGAUGGACUCGCGGCUUAUCAGCUUGUUGGUGGGGUAGUGGCUUACCAAGGCUUUGACGGGUAGCCGGCCUGAGAGGGUGACCGGCCACAUUGGGACUGAGAUACGGCCCAGACUCCUACGGGAGGCAGCAGUGGGGAAUAUUGCACAGUGGGCGGAAGCCUGAUGCAGCAACGCCGCGUGCGGGAUGACGGCCUUCGGGUUGUAAACCGCCUUCGCAUGUGACGAAGCGUGAGUGACGGUAAUGGGUAAAGAAGCACCGGCUAACUACGUG